rnacentral:tRNA from 1 species
GCGGGUGUAGCUCAGAGGUAGAGCACAACCUUGCCAAGGUUGGGGUCGAGGGUUCGAAUCCCUUCGCCCGCU